UGCAAUGGCAUAUAUCAUUAUUCUGAUGGUUCAUGUGGAAUAUGGGCUUGGAUGUUCUUAUGUUUUAACUUUUUUUCCAUUUUUAACUUCUAAUUUAAUAAAUAACAAUAGAUAUAACCCAUAUAAAAAAUGAUUCUUUGGAGAAUCCUCAAUAGUUUUAAAAGCAUAAAAGAAUCCUCAUAUUAAGUGCCGCAGAAUUAGACACUUAUGGAACAGCCCCUUUAUGCCAGCCCUGGGGAGGAGCAGGUGUUGCUAAGACACAAAUGAGGCUUUAUCCUCCUUGCAGGACCUAACAGUUUGGAGAGAAGCCUGCUCAGAGGCAGUGUGAUGGGCCCCAGUGAGGAGGAAGCUCAGUGCUGAUGGAAUCGAGUGAAUGAAGAAAGCUCAAGUGCUUUGAACCCUAAUCACUACCAGAAGUCACCGUACUAUUUUCCCACUGGAAUAAACUUCUUGAGAGCAGAGAUUUGCCUUUUUCAUCACUACAUCUUCAGAUCCCAGGACAGAGCUGGACACAAAGCCCUCAAGACCUACUGCAUGAAAAGAACCUGACUUACCUUUCAUGAGCCCUACAGAUCAUUUCAUGUGCUGUUCUUAGUUCUGCGAUAUUCUGGGCAGUUAAACAUUUUCUCCACUCUGGGAAAA